rnacentral:rRNA from 1 species
AGUGAACGCUGGCGGUAGGCCUAACACAUGCAAGUCGAACGGCAGCACAGUAAGAGCUUGCUCUUACGGGUGGCGAGUGGCGGACGGGUGAGGAAUACAUCGGAAUCUACUUUUUCGUGGGGGAUAACGUAGGGAAACUUACGCUAAUACCGCAUACGACCUACGGGUGAAAGCAGGGGAUCUUCGGACCUUGCGCGAUUGAAUGAGCCGAUGUCGGAUUAGCUAGUUGGCGGGGUAAAGGCCCACCAAGGCGACGAUCCGUAGCUGGUCUGAGAGGAUGAUCAGCCACACUGGAACUGAGACACGGUCCAGACUCCUACGGGAGGCAGCAGUGGGGAAUAUUGGACAAUGGGCGCAAGCCUGAUCCAGCCAUACCGCGUGGGUGAAGAAGGCCUUCGGGUUGUAAAGCCCUUUUGUUGGGAAAGAAAAGCAGCAGGUUAAUACCCCGCUGUUCGGACGGUACCCAAAGAAUAAACACCGGCUAACUUCGU